UACGGAGGGUGCGAGCGUUGUCCGGAAUCAUUGGGCGUAAAGGGCGCGUAGGUGGCCUGUGCAAGCGUGCGGUGAAAGCUCGGGGCUCAACCCCGAGUCGGCCGUGCGAACUGCUGGGCUCGAGCACUGUAGAGGCAGGCGGAAUUCCGGGUGUAGCGGUGGAAUGCGUAGAGAUCCGGAAGAACACCGGUGGCGAAGGCGGCCUGCUGGGCAGUGGCUGACACUGGAGGCGCGACGAGCGUGGGGAGCAAACAGG
rnacentral:rRNA from 1 species